rnacentral:rRNA from 1 species
UACGAAGGGGGCUAGCGUUGUUCGGAUUUACUGGGCGUAAAGCGCACGUAGGCGGAUCGUUAAGUCGGGGGUGAAAUCCUGGAGCUCAACUCUAGAACUGCCUUCGAUACUGGCGAUCUUGAGUCCGGAAGAGGUGAGUGGAACUCCUAGUGUAGAGGUGGAAUUCGUAGAUAUUCGCAAGAACACCAGUGGCGAAGGCGGCUCACUGGCCCGGUACUGACGCUGAGGUGCGAAAGCGUGGGGAGCAAACAGG